rnacentral:lncRNA from 1 species
AUAGCCCUCUCUCUGUGAGGUGCUAAAAAGUUUGUAUCUGAAAUGUCUCCCAAAGGUCCAUGUGUUAAAGGCUUAGUCCCCAGCUCAUUGCUUGCUAUUGCGAAGUGGUAUAACCUUGAGGAGGUGGGGCCCAGUACAAGGUUUUAGAUCAUUGAGGGCUUGCCUUUGAAUGUCCGUUUUUCUUCCUCUUUUUUCCUCACUCAGCUAUAAGGUAAAUAGGCUUCCUCUGCCAUAGCUCUUGCCAUGAUGUAUUUACUUUCCUGCACAGGCCUAAAAGCAAUGGGGCCAGCCAAUCAUGGACCUCUAAAACUGUGAGACAGAAUAAACUGUCCUCUUCCUAAAUUGAUUAUCUCAAGUAUUUGUUACAUCAACAGAAAUCUAACAAAAUAAGGUGUGAGAAAUAUCUACAGACAUAUCCUUUCUUUAUCUCUUUAUCUACCCAUUCUACUACCAAAUCCAUGAUGGUACAACUUUGGUUAGUUCACUCAUGGAACUGUUUUGAAAUUCAGCUUCCACUCCAAGGACUAAUCCUGGAGAAUUCUAAUAAACUAACUAAUUCUCUUUUACCCAUAAGGGAAAAAGGCUAGUAUAAGUUGGAAGAGCUGUUGCAGAACUCAAGGCAAAGCAACAAGCCAGAUGUUCAUGUUUAUUGUUCUGUUCCUUCGUUAUCAAGACUUCUAAACAAUGGUUGCAGGAAGCAGUGGCCAUGAUAUUUUGGGGUAUUUUUUUUUUGUCAUUAAGCUGUUCUUGUUAGGAGCCAAACUUCCUGCUAUUAAGGUAGGUAUUUGCAAUGGUUUAGUCUAUUAAAAAUAAC